rnacentral:rRNA from 1 species
UACAGAGGUCCCAAGCGUUGUUCGGAUUCACUGGGCGUAAAGGGUGCGUAGGUGGCCAGGUAAGUUUGGUGUGAAAGCUCGGAGCUUAACUCCGAAAAGUCAUUGAAUACUAUCUGGCUGGAGGGUCGGAGGGGAGACUGGAAUUCUCGGUGUAGCAGUGAAAUGCGUAGAUAUCGAGAGGAACACCAGUGGCGAAGGCGGGUCUCUGGGCCGUAACUGACGCUGAGGAGCGAAAGCAUGGGGAGCGAACAGG